ACCAAAGACUAUUACAAAAACUCAAAGGUUACUAAGUGCUAAUAGAAAAUCUUCUGUGCUUAGCUUCACUGGAGUGUCAACACUUAAUACUAGUUAUGUAGAAUUACAACUUUAUGUUUAUUACAGUAAAUAUACAGGCAUGUAAGGAAAAAUUCUAGAACAGCUUUUCUUAGUAUGUUAAAAAUUUUAAUCACCAUUUCACCUUUGAAGAUCAUUCUCUCUUGCACAGAGCACUAAAUUCAGUACGAGAUCUGCUAUGAUGUUUCUCUCUUAUAUGUAACCAAGAAAUUUCCCAUGCUGUCACUAAGAAUCAGGUAUUCCUCCUGCUUUCUGCUAAAGGACCUAAAAUUAUAUUGGAAAUAUCAUCAAAGGAUAAAUAAUACUGGAUCUUCUUUUGGUUACAUUUAUAGCUUCACUGCUUCUCAAUAUUGGACCAGUUUCUUAAAACUAUUUUCCAGGAGUAAACAAACCCUACCUGCAAACCAAGAAGACAGAUUUUGGCCUAUGUUUAGCAAUAUUCUCUUGCCAUGAUGGAGAGUAUCCUCUCAUGAACAACGAUUAUAAAUCUGUCAAUCACUCUAUGUAACUUCUCAAGUGAAGCAGCUAAAGCCAUAGCUGCCCAACAAAAAUCUUUAAACUCUUUAGCCACAGUAGUAAUGGAUAACAGAAUACCCCUAGACUAAGUAUUGGUGGAACAGGAAAGAGUUUCUAUGGUAGCUAACAUAUCAUGUUGUGUUUACAUCAAUACAUUUUCUGAAGUUGAAACACACAUGAAAUUAGAAGACAACAAGCUAAUUAAUCACAACAAAUUCCCAGGGAAGAACCAGGUGCCAACUGGUUCUCAGAUAUAUUUUUCUGAAUCCCACAUAGAAUUCAAUGUAUGCCCCCAAGCCAUACGAAAAUUAAGACUUUACCUAUUACUAAUGCUCAUUUUUGGACAUUUGGUUAGCAAAUGCUGCCUCUGAUGUUAAACUUUUAAACUGUUAAAAGAGAAACCAAUGUAUUAAUAAUGCUAAAUGUUAAUAUUGUACCAGAUAUUAGAGAAUAUCUUCAACUUAAUGCAAAAUGAUUUCAUCCUUUAGGCCCAAACCUGCACCCCUAGUCAGUAGGAAAAAGCUAGAAUGGACGUUGCCCCUAAUCCCUCAUGACUGAAGAAUGCACAUAGAACAGGGGGGAUUGAAACCAUGACCCAAAGAUUUAGUUAAAGAAACCAAUGGCUAAAAGAAGUUAUUGAGUUUGCAGGUUGGCAGAUUAAAAAAAGAAGAAGAGGAAACAACAACAACAACGACAGAACAACAACAACAAAAAAAACUUGCUGAAACACUGAAACUCCCUUUGCUUAUUAACUAAAGAACACUGACUGAAAUUGAUUGGACUCAAUAUGGCCAACUAGAGUCUGCACAGAAAGAGCUUGCUGACAUUGCAACCUGAAUUUUCAGUGCAUGUUUCAUAACAGCUCCCUCCAACUUUGUACAUGUGACCCAUGCGAUAGUAUGAAGUUAACUGUAUGCCCAGGGACUUUCUAGACCUUCUCUUUCCUUCCACCAAUUAUUUGAUCAUCUCAGAAUCCACCUCCUGAAACUUUUUGUAUACAAAUACUGCUUUGAAGCCAGCAUGGGGAGAAAAACUUGAGUUUGACAUGCCUGUCUUCUUGUGAGUCAACUUGCAAAAUAAAGCUUUCCUUUUCUCA